GUUUCAUGCAGCAGGCUCAUUUUGAUUGACAGUGCGAGGGAAAAAAAAACAAAAACAGCUCUGUAUUGAAAAUGAAGAAUAAUGAUUUUUUCCUCUCCAAUUGUCAAAACAGAUAUGAAAUGGCUCUUCACAUGUUCUGUCAGUCCACGCAAAUAUCAUCCAGUUACCCCGGCAAAUGUGCAGUCAGCCAGCGCAUCAUCGCUCAGGCACACUACAGCCUCAUAAAGAAAAUUGACAAACACCCAAAAUGCCAGCAUAGACUUCCUCCCUCAGGCCAUGAGUAUGUCACAAUUCUCUGACAGCUCUGGAGCCAGACUUCCUGUUUACGUGAAUGAGUGACAUGAGGAAUUAUCUGGCACAUCCCUGCAGGACGCACUGUAUGUGUUUGUAUGUGAGUAAGUGAGCUUUGUCCACUGCUAGUUUCUGUCUCAGAUGCUCUGCCCACAGUUACACCCGCCUCAUGGUAUUUACUGUGUGUUAAAAUGGACAUAAUUAGCAGAAUUUUGACAGCCAGUCGGAUAGUUACACUCUGAUUGUCUGCGCUGUCACGUGUACAAGCUUUCGCUGUCUGAAUCUAGUCCUGCAACAGCGAAAAUGCACCAAAUUCUACAUGUGGGUGUUCAUUGGUCAGUGCUAUUUAGAACCAUAUACAAUGCAUUCUCCAUUCAUCCGAAGAACCAUUUCACCAUGUAAAGAAUCAUUUUAGCAUGAAAUGGUUCUGUAUACAACUCUGGUUCUAAAUAGAACCAUUCUCUUUACUAAAAGAACUUUACUUAAAGAACCAUCUUGGUGCACAAAUAGAACUUUCACUAGCCUAUCUGUCCUUCACAUCUAUUCUUGAUAUUAAUGAAUUUUCCUGCUCAUUAUGUUACAUGAAAACAGAGACACUAGGGCCCAAUCCCAUUUUUUAUUUUACUCCUACACCUUGUUUUCAAGUCUCACUGUGUCCUUUGGAAUGGAGUUACUGAGUUAAAUUUAGGGCAUCAUAUGCUUUUAAACUAUUCACCAGCUUCUUGUUUGAAUUUUUCCAUUUCACCUUAAAUAGGGCAGCUGUUACAUUCUGGGAUUUCAGGUGUCAGUACCGCUGGACUAUUUAAGGUGGAACAAGAAAUUUAGCUAGCUAGCUACCAAGACAUUAGCAUACUAUUAGUGAUUUUUUAUGCUUGUUAUGAAGUAAAGGACUAUAAUACACUGCACUGACAUUAAACUAAGAUAAUACAGUGGUUAUCAUUAUUUUCUAACAUAAAAAAUACUCUGAAAAACCUCUGUUUGGAGGGCCAUGUAGCACUGACACUUCGCCCUACCCCUCUAUCUCAACAAAAAUCAGGAUAUCCUACUCCUAGGAGUGAACGCACAAAACAGAGGGCUAAGGACUAAGUGGUAGGGGCGAGGGGGAAAAUUGGGCCUUUGUCAGUUUACAAGUACCCAAAAGACUGAUGCUGGACCAGAAAUAUGUUCUGCAAUUCAUGUUCCAAAGACAAAUACAUUGCUCUUUUUUCAUUGCUUGUCUGCUAUUAUUAGCAGUAGCUUGGGCUGCAGGUAUGAAAUACGCAUCUGUAAGAGGUCCAACAAUAAAACAGGCAGAUUAUCCAGACAGUGUGGCACUGAUGAGCUGCUAGAAGAGAAGUAAAGCAUACCCUUGUUUGGUGUGGACCACUGAAUAAGAGCUUUCAAGUUUUUUGUCAUUUGCACA